rnacentral:lncRNA from 1 species
GGGAAAAUGACUUAACCUCUUCGAACCCCCAGAAGCCCCUGCCCGGGGGUACUGAUGCCCCAUUUACAGAGGGACAAGCCGGAUUUCGGAGAGGUGAAGUCACUCGCCGAAAGUCGCACCGCCAGGGUCUGCGUGACACCCCAAAGCAGUGUUCAGUUACCCCGGGGAGAGCGCGAUGAACUUGAACCACUUGUUGGCUGGUUCCUGCUCUUGCUCGUUUUUUGCGGAUCGACACAUAGUGGGCACUGAGGAAAAUAAAUGUUGGAAGCUUGAGAUUGAACUUGACAGCUCGACCCUAAGUACCCGCCACGAAUCCAGCCCAGCCCGCGGGGCACCGGGUUUCUCCAGACCUCGCAGGGAACAUUUGCGGAUGGGCUGGUAGAGGAGGCUCGGACAUCCCAGCUCCGCACCCGCACUCGACCAACGCGUGGUAGCGGAACCCCUGUCGUAGCGAGGCACAGACUGGGUUCAAGUCCCGACUCUGCCGAUUUCAGCCUGAGUGACUUUGAGCGAGUCACUUUUUCCCGUCGAAACCUCAGUUGCUCCAUCCACAAAAUGGGAGAUAUGAACAGCCACCCUAAAACGGUGUGGGGGGGAUUAAACGAAACAACGUUCCCAAAACGCUAAACUUACAAGUGUUGUCUCCCGUCCAUCCCAUAAACUUAGGCGACAAACCUGGCGCAGGGUGACCUGAGACAAAGGCUUCCCGGCCCCUGUCUCCAAGUCGUCCACCCCUGGGGCGUAGGCACGUUUUAGUGAGCCCUGUCCGGCGAAACCCGAAACUGCGGCCACCUUGGCAGCGGUGGGCCCCAAAAGGAAAUAUUCAAAUAUUCUGAAACUCGUGCAUGAUUUAGGACUGACAUUUUUACGUUUAAUUUUCUUGCAGUUUUAUUCUUGCUAGUAAAGGUAAUUCGUUAGAAACCCUUAAGUGCAGUUUCUCCUCUGUGUCUUGUUUAACUUUUCGUGUUAGCGAAAUUCACAAAUUUGACCAAGGAACCGGAGCGCGGCCGUCCUCGCCGGGAUUCCGGUCAUCGCAAUAAUCUGGCUCUCGGCCCCUACUCCCAGGCACGGAGGUCGA